GGAAUUUGGCUCAGUGGUAGAGCGCUUGCCUAGCAAGCACAAGGCCCUGGGUUCGGUCCCCAGCUCCA
rnacentral:tRNA from 1 species